rnacentral:rRNA from 1 species
UACGAAGGGGGCUAACGUUGCUCGGAAUCACUGGGCGUAAAGCGCACGUAGGCGGCUUGUUAAGUCAGGGGUGAAAUCCUGGAGCUCAACUCCAGAACUGCCUUUGAUACUGGCGAGCUCGAGUCCGGGAGAGGUGAGUGGAACUGCGAGUGUAGAGGUGAAAUUCGUAGAUAUUCGCAAGAACACCAGUGGCGAAGGCGGCUCACUGGCCCGGUACUGACGCUGAGGUGCGAAAGCGUGGGGAGCAAACAGGG